UACGGAGGGGGCUAGCGUUGUUCGGAAUUACUGGGCGUAAAGCGCACGUAGGUGGCUUUGUAGAUUAGAGGUGAAAGCCCGGGGCUCAACUCCGGAAUUGCCUUUUAAGACUGCAUCGCUAGAACGUCGGAGAGGUAAGUGGAAUUCCGAGUGUAGAGGUGAAAAUUCGUAGAUAUUCGGAAGAACACCAGUGGCGAAGGCGACUUACUGGACGACUGUUGACACUGAGGUGCGAAAGCGUGGGGAGCAAACAGG
rnacentral:rRNA from 1 species